rnacentral:lncRNA from 1 species
GUAAUGUACAGGUAACAUUGUCCAGGGUCUAAGGUGUAACAUUUAAGGACUAUUGUUGUGAAGAGAGGAAACAUCAAGGGGUUUCUUGAAAGCUCAGUUGUUACCAGUAUAUAAAAGAGUUCAACAGUGUUUAGAUCAUUAUUGUUCAUCUUCUCGAAACAUCUGUUCUCUCUCAUCAAGGCGAUUAGAGUUUCUUGUGUUCAGUUUGAUCUCGUGUGAGAUCUGAUCUCUUGUGAGAUCUGUUUGUAUCAGUUUAUGAAGAUUAACUGAUUGUAUCAGUUAAUCUCUGUAUUUCUUUCCUUUGUUUUGUAUAGAUCUCACUAUUGGUGAGAUCUAGGGUUUCAGGGGGGUUUUUUGGUUUGGUUAAAUAAUAAAGUUUUGUCGCUGUUUUGUCGCUUAUCGUUGUGUUGUUUGUACUGGUUUUUUGGUUCAUAUACCAUUUUUACAUGGUUUUGGUCUAAGGUGUAACAUUUAAGGACUAUUGUUGUGAAGAGAGGAAACAUCAAGGGGUUUCUUGAAAGCUCAGUUGUUACCAGUAUAUAAAAGAGUUCAACAGUGUUUAGAUCAUUAUUGUUCAUCUUCUCGAAACAUCUGUUCUCUCUCAUCAAGGCGAUUAGAGUUUCUUGUGUUCAGUUUGAUCUCGUGUGAGAUCUGAUCUCUUGUGAGAUCUGUUUGUAUCAGUUUAUGAAGAUUAACUGAUUGUAUCAGUUAAUCUCUGUAUUUCUUUCCUUUGUUUUGUAUAGAUCUCACUAUUGGUGAGAUCUAGGGUUUCAGGGGGGUUUUUUGGUUUGGUUAAAUAAUAAAGUUUUGUCGCUGUUUUGUCGCUUAUCGUUGUGUUGUUUGUACUGGUUUUUUGGUUCAUAUACCAUUUUUACAAUAUCCGCUCUUCCUAAAUAAAAAAAAAUUAGCUUGCGUUACCCCUUAACUUUUCUUCU